GUGGGGAAUCUUCCGCAAUGGACGAAAGUCUGACGGAGCAACGCCGCGUGAGUGAUGAAGGUCUUCGGAUUGUAAAGCUCUGUUAAUCGGGACGAAAGAGCCUAGUGUGAAUAAUGCUAGGAAGUGACGGUACCGGAAUAGAAAGCCACGGCUAACUACGUGCCAGCAGCCGCGGUAAUACGUAGGUGGCAAGCGUUGUCCGGAAUUAUUGGGCGUAGAGCGCGCGCAGGCGGAUCUGCCAGUCUGUCUUAAAAGUUCGGGGCUUAACCCCGUGAUGGGAUGGAAACUACAGAUCUAGAGUAGCGGAGAGGAAAGUGGAAUUCCUAGUGUAGCGGUGAAAUGCGUAGAUAUUAGGAAGAACACCAGUGGCGAAGGCGACUUUCUGGACGAAAACUGACGCUGAGGCGCGAAAGCCAGGGGAGCGAACGGGAUUAGAUACCCUGGUAGUCC
rnacentral:rRNA from 1 species